GACGAACGCUGGCGGCGUGCUUAACACAUGCAAGUCGAACGGAAAGGCCCUGCUUUUGUGGGGUGCUCGAGUGGCGAACGGGUGAGUAACACGUGAGUAACCUGCCCUUGACUUUGGGAUAACUUCAGGAAACUGGGGCUAAUACCGGAUAGGAGCUCCUGCUGCAUGGUGGGGGUUGGAAAGUUUCGGCGGUUGGGGAUGGACUCGCGGCUUAUCAGCUUGGUGGUGGGGUAGUGGCUUACCAAGGCUUUGACGGGUGGCCUGCCUGAGCGGGUGACAGGCCACAUUGGGAUUGGGAUGCGGCCCAGACCCCUACGGGAGGCAGCAGUGGAGAAUAGUGCACAAUGGGCGGAAGCCUGAUGCAGCAACGCCGCGUGCGGGAUGACGGCCUUCGGGUUGUAAACCGCUUUCGCCUGUGACGAAGCGUGAGUGACGGUAAUGGGUAAAGAAGCACCGGCUAACUACGUG
rnacentral:rRNA from 1 species